rnacentral:rRNA from 1 species
GUUGUAUGGUUAAGUGACUAAGCGUACACGGUGGAUGCCUUGGCAGUCAGAGGCGAUGAAAGACGUAGUAACUUGCGAUAAGCCCAGAUUAGGUAGUAACAACCAUUUGAGUCUGGGAUUUCUGAAUGGGGAAACCCACGUGCAUAAGCACGUAUCCUUACCUGAAUACAUAGGGUAAGGAGGCGAACCGGGGGAACUGAAACAUCUAAGUACCCCGAGGAAAAGAAAUCAACCGAGAUUCCGAAAGUAGCGGCGAGCGAAAUUGGACUAGCCCUUAAGCUUUACACGCGUUAGACGAACGGUCUGGAAAGUCCGACGAUACAGGGUGAUAGUCCCGUAGUUGACGACGUGUGUUCAGUGAAAUCGAGUAGGGCGGGACACGUGAUAUCCUGUCUGAAUAUGGGGGGACCAUCCUCCAAGGCUAAAUACUACUGACUGACCGAUAGUGAACCAGUACCGUGAGGGAAAGGCGAAAAGAACCCCUGUGAGGGGAGUGAAAUAGAACCUGAAACCGUGUACGUACAAGCAGUAGGAGCAGGCUUUGUCCUGUGACUGCGUACCUUUUGUAUAAUGGGUCAGCGACUUAUAUUCAGUGGCAAGGUUAACCAUCUAGGGGAGCCGUAGGGAAACCGAGUCUUAACUGGGCGUUCAGUCUCUGGAUAUAGACCCGAAACCAGGUGAUCUAGCCAUGGGCAGGUUGAAGGUUGAGUAACAUCAACUGGAGGACCGAACCGACUAAUGUUGAAAAAUUAGCGGAUGACUUGUGGCUAGGGGUGAAAGGCCAAUCAAACCUGGAGAUAGCUGGUUCUCCCCGAAAGCUAUUUAGGUAGCGCCUCGGACGAAUACUACUGGGGGUAGAGCACUGUUAAGGCUAGGGGGUCAUCCCGACUUACCAACCCUUUGCAAACUCCGAAUACCAGUAAGUACUAUCCGGGAGACACACGGCGGGUGCUAACGUCCGUCGUGGAGAGGGAAACAACCCAGACCGCCAGCUAAGGUCCCAAAUUACUACUAAGUGGGAAACGAUGUGGGAAGGCUCAGACAGCCAGGAUGUUGGCUUAGAAGCAGCCAUCAUUUAAAGAAAGCGUAAUAGCUCACUGGUCGAGUCGGCCUGCGCGGAAGAUGUAACGGGGCUAAGUAGUAAACCGAAGCUGCGGCAAUGUGCUUUUGCACAUUGGGUAGGGGAGCGUUCUGUAAGCGGUUGAAGGUGUGUGGUAACGCAUGCUGGACGUAUCAGAAGUGCGAAUGCUGACAUGAGUAACGAUAAAGGGGGUGAAAAACCUCCUCGCCGGAAGACCAAGGGUUCCUGUCCAACGUUAAUCGGGGCAGGGUAAGUCGACCCCUAAGGCGAGGCCGAAAGGCGUAGUCGAUGGGAAACGGGUUAAUAUUCCCGUACUUCUUACAAUUGCGAUGGGGGGACGGAGAAGGCUAGGUGGGCCUGGCGACGGUUGUCCAGGUUCAAGUGCGUAGGCUUAAGAGUUAGGUAAAUCCGGCUCUUUUUAAGGCUGAGACACGACGUCGAGCCACUACGGUGGUGAAGUCAUUGAUGCCAUGCUUCCAGGAAAAGCCUCUAAGCUUCAGAUUGUAAGGAAUCGUACCCCAAACCGACACAGGUGGUCGGGUAGAGAAUACCAAGGCGCUUGAGAGAACUCGGGUGAAGGAACUAGGCAAAAUGGUACCGUAACUUCGGGAGAAGGUACGCUCUUGAUGGUGAAGUCCCUUGCGGAUGGAGCUGACGAGAGUCGCAGAUACCAGGUGGCUGCAACUGUUUAUUAAAAACACAGCACUGUGCAAAAUCGUAAGAUGACGUAUACGGUGUGACGCCUGCCCGGUGCCGGAAGGUUAAUUGAUGGGGUUAGACUUCGGUCGAAGCUCUUGAUCGAAGCCCCGGUAAACGGCGGCCGUAACUAUAACGGUCCUAAGGUAGCGAAAUUCCUUGUCGGGUAAGUUCCGACCUGCACGAAUGGCGUAAUGAUGGCCACGCUGUCUCCACCCGAGACUCAGUGAAAUUGAAAUCGCUGUGAAGAUGCAGUGUACCCGCGGCUAGACGGAAAGACCCCGUGAACCUUUACUACAGCUUGGCACUGAACAUUGACCCUACAUGUGUAGGAUAGGUGGGAGGCUUUGAAGCACGUACGCCAGUAUGUGUGGAGCCGUCCUUGAAAUACCACCCUUGUAGUGUUGAUGUUCUAACGUCGACCCCUUAUCGGGGUUGCGGACAGUGCCUGGUGGGUAGUUUGACUGGGGCGGUCUCCUCCCAAAGAGUAACGGAGGAGCACGAAGGUGGGCUAAUCACGGUUGGACAUCGUGAGGUUAGUGCAAUGGCAUAAGCCCGCUUGACUGCGAGAAUGACAAUUCGAGCAGGUGCGAAAGCAGGUCAUAGUGAUCCGGUGGUUCUGAAUGGAAGGGCCAUCGCUCAACGGAUAAAAGGUACUCCGGGGAUAACAGGCUGAUACCGCCCAAGAGUUCAUAUCGACGGCGGUGUUUGGCACCUCGAUGUCGGCUCAUCACAUCCUGGGGCUGAAGUCGGUCCCAAGGGUAUGGCUGUUCGCCAUUUAAAGUGGUACGCGAGCUGGGUUUAGAACGUCGUGAGACAGUUCGGUCCCUAUCUGCCGUGGGCGUUGGAAGAUUGAAGGGGGCUGCUCCUAGUACGAGAGGACCGGAGUGGACGAACCUCUGGUGUUCGGGUUGUGUCGCCAGACGCAUUGCCCGGUAGCUAAGUUCGGAAUCGAUAACCGCUGAAAGCAUCUAAGCGGGAAGCGAGCCCUGAGAUGAGUCUUCCCUGAUACUUUAAGUAUCCUAAAGGGUUGUCGGAGACUACGACGUUGAUAGGUCAGGUGUGUAAGUGCUGUGAGGCAUUGAGCUAACUGAUACUAAUUGCCCGUGAGGCUUAACCAUACAACACCCAAGGGGUUU